AAGUCACAUCGCUCCUCCUGGCUGAGCUUUUGAGUUUCUGUUGCGGCUGCGUUGGAGUUGUUAGUUGUCGUAACGCGACGGUUUUGCAGUUGAGGUAGUUUUCAAAAAGGCACCAAUUUGCAGAGUUGGUGAUUGUUGGAGACAAACGAGGACAAACGAGGCUGACUGGUGAACCUGAUCCUGAAGUGGUUGGACCAGGGGGGGCCGGAGCUGUUCCAGUAUGAGUCUUUCCAGGGUCUUCAUGAUGUGUGUGAUGUGUCUGGGGUCGAGGUGUGAGCGAGCACGUCAGCCUGAAUUAUUUAAAGAGACGCUCCCUCGCUGAGCUCCUGAGGAAGAUUAGCCUGGACUCACCUGUGCAGUACGCCGCCAGGCUGGAGGACGUUCCUGUCUCCCGGGUUGUUGUGGUCGGGUGGCGGCUGGUCCGUCCCCUGUGAGAAGACGAGAUAUCAGUGCAGUAAGGACCUCUCAGGCCCUCAGAGUAACCAUGUGACGCCCUGAUGUGGGACGCCACCCACAGGUUGGUCCUACAGCUCCUCCACGACCUCCAAGCUCCUCCCAGGUGUAGGAAUGUAAGAACGUCUCUGAAGACUGUGAGCUCGGUGAGCUUCACUGGUUAAAGAUCUCAGAGAUCAUCUUCAGAUCAUCCAGAUCACAAAAAUGCCCAAGAACGUAAUGGGACCCAAAAUUGAAACAAUAAUGUCAGCUGCAGCCCCUGUGACCCAUCAGGCUGGACUCUGGCUGAUGGUCUUUGAAUCGUCCCUCAACAGGACCACAUGUUGCUGUUCGGACCAACUCAGAGACAACCACGGUCCACUUCCUGCUCAUCUGGGCCCGCGAUAAAGAGGAACGUUCAACUCACCCUUUGGGCUAGAUGACUUUGAAGGAGGCGUUAUCUUCUUAAUCUGGCCAGUACCCGGUGAUUGAUGCUGAGUGUUGUUGUAGACUGUGAGAAAGAAAAAACAAACAUUUUUAAGUUGUUUCUGAGGACAUCAUAAGGUUCACAGAACCAUCAUCAUGAGGACAAAUAUUUUGGGACUGUCCCUUUAACGUCAGGUAACUGUGUCCAACAGCGAACAGCUGACGACAUCAUGAACAGCUGCUGAAGCUGACUGAUAUGAUGAAAAAUGUUAGGAGCUUUAGUGGACUUACCUGUGAG